rnacentral:rRNA from 1 species
CCUACGGGCGGCAGCAGUGAGGAAUAUUGGUCAAUGGGCGCGAGCCUGAACCAGCCAAGUAGCGUGAAGGAUGACUGCCCUACGGGUUGUAAACUUCUUUUAUAAAGGAAUAAAGUGAGGCACGUGUGCCUUUUUGUAUGUACUUUAUGAAUAAGGAUCGGCUAACUCCGUGCCAGCAGCCGCGGUAAUACGGAGGAUCCGAGCGUUAUCCGGAUUUAUUGGGUUUAAAGGGAGCGUAGAUUGGUUGUUAAGUCGGUUGUGAAAGUUUGCGGCUCAACCGUAAAAUUGCAAUUGAUACUGGCAGCCUUGAGUACAGUUGAGGUAGGCGGAAUUCGUGGUGUAGCAGUGAAAUGCUUAGAUAUCACGAAGAACUCCGAUUGCGAAGGCAGCUUACUAAACUGCCACUGACAUUGAUGCUCGAAGGUGUGGGUAUCGAACAGGAUUAGAUACCCUGGUAGUC